CCGCAUUGUUCUUCCUCUUUCUGUCUCUCUUGUGUUGUAAUCGAAUAUCGAGGGGUAAAGAUUGCAAACCCUAAAAAUCGACGAGGACAAGGGUUUAUUGAUCUGUAAUGACGCUGUAGCCAUUUUGCUGCACUUUUCUGUUGCUGUGGAUUUGGAUUCUUCCGCCAUCGUUACGAAUCCUAUUCGUUUCAGCAUUUUCUUGUGUGUUCAAGUUCAUCAUGGUAGCAACUGCUGCUACAUCCGCGUUUUAUCCUAUUUCUUCUUCGUCUUCGUCUUCUGACCCUAAAGUAAAGAACACCAAAAUUGGAGGUGGCUCUGGGAAUUUGGGGGGGUUCAAGUCUAAAUCUGUGUCUUCUGGAAGUCUUCGGGUGAAGACUAAUGCCCAAGCCCCUUCCAAAGUAACUGGAAGCUCAACUGGCUUCAAGGCUGGGGAUGACUUCAUAUCAUCUCACCCACGAACUUUUAUUAAUCAGCUGCCUGACUGGAGCAUGCUCCUUGCUGCUAUUACUACUAUCUUUUUAGCAGCUGAGAAGCAAUGGAUGAUGCUCGACUGGAAACCUAGACGGCCGGACAUGCUUAUAGAUCCGUUUGGUUUGGGAAGGAUCGUUCAGGAUGGUUUUGUGUAUACCCAAAAUUUCUCUAUUAGAUCCUACGAAAUUGGUGCUGAUCGUACAGCUUCUAUAGAGACUUUAAUGAAUCAUUUACAGGAAACUGCCCUUAAUCAUGUUAAGACUGUUGGGCUACUUGGAGAUGGAUUUGGUUCUACGCCAGAAAUGUGCAAAAAGAACCUGAUAUGGGUAGUUACCAAGAUGCAGAUUAUGGUAGACCGUUACCCUACUUGGGGUGAUACUGUUCAAGUAGACACUUGGGUCAGUGCUUCUGGAAGGAAUGGCAUGCGCCGUGAUUGGCUCGUGUAUGAUUGCAAAACUGGAGACAAUUUAACAAGAGCCUCCAGUACCUGGGUUAUGAUGAAUAAACAGACAAGAAAGUUAUCAAAGAUUCCUGAGGAAGUGAGGAGAGAAAUAGAGCCUAACUUUAUGAAUACUGCUCCUGUUAUCGAAGAUGAUGGCAGGAGACUUUCAAAAAUCGAUGACGAUACAGCUGAUUACGUUCGAAUGGGUUUGACUCCUAAGUGGAGUGAUUUAGAUGUCAACCAGCAUGUUAACAAUGUGAAGUACAUUGGGUGGAUUCUGGAGAGCGCCCCGCCACCGAUAUUAGAGAGUCAUGAACUUUCAUCCAUCACGUUGGAAUACCGGAGGGAAUGUGGGAGGGACAGUGUGCUGCAGUCCCUCACUGCUGCCACUGGCACGGACAGUGCAACUUCGUCAACUGCUGGUGUCGUUGACUACAAUCACUUGCUUCGGUUCGAUGAUGGGACCGAGGUUGUGAGAGGAAGAACACAGUGGCGACCCAAAUUUGGCAACAAAUUUACCAUCCUAGACCAUAUUUCAGCCGACCAUGGAAUUUAAGCUGCCUCGCUAGACCUCUCAACAGACCACAAUCCAUGAAGGCUAACUUUAUAUAAUGUGGGUGUUGCUCAGCCUGGUCGGUUGCUAUACAAUCAAUGUAUACCAACUGCCGGCUGACUGUCUCAGAGCAGGGGAUGGGAUGGGAUCAGGUCGGGUUCGGGUUCUUCUUGGAGAAUUUUUCGUUUCUACUGGAAUUAAUGAGACGAGUCUUAAGAUAUAUAAAUAUUUUGACUUACUGUUUAGUUUUUAA